CAGUCGCCGCGGUAAUACGUAGGUCCCGAGCGUUGUCCGGAUUUAUUGGGUGUAAAGUGAGCGCAGGCGGUUAGAUAAGUCUGAAGUUAAAGGCUGUGGCUUAACCAUAGUACGCUUUGGAAACUGUUUAACUUGAGUGCAAGAGGGGAGAGUGGAAUUCCAUGUGUAGCGGUGAAAUGCGUAGAUAUAUGGAGGAACACCGGUGGCGAAAGCGGCUCUCUGGCUUGUAACUGACGCUGAGGCUCGAAAGCGUGGGGAGCAAACAGGAUUAGAUACCCCGGUAGUCCCUGUCUCUUAUACC
rnacentral:rRNA from 1 species